CGGGAAGCAGCUCAAUAUAUUACACUCUCGCCAUGGGCGCCAUUUCAUUUUGCAAAUACAAAUCCGUGACAUUUCAAAAACCUUGGCGAUCUGAUAACACACACUCUCUCCCCCAAAAUCUCACCGUAAUCAGGACAUGCGAACUCGAUUUCUCUGCACAGAUUACUUCAAUUCCACUCCAAUUUCAGCUCGCGAUUUCCUCCGCCUCCCCCUUUCGCCUCUCCUCACUGAUCCGAACACCUCCAAAUUCGAAGACCUUAAUUUUUCUGACGGAGUUUCUACUCUCAGUAUCGAUGUCGAAAUCGAGAAAUUUCCGAUCGAGGCAGCUCUCUCCAGCUUCUUCGCCGAUGUCCUUCCGCACAACAUCGAUAUUGAACUCUCCGAGUUCGCAGAUCCUCAACCUUUCGCUAGUUGCAGUUCCGAGGUGCAAACAAGCGAAACUACGAACUCAGAGGGGACUAUUGUUUCCUACAGCAAGGGGAAGGAAAAUCUUGAAAUGGUCCAACUUGAAAUUCGGGUGCUGGAUACAUCCUGGCUUCCAUUGCUUGAAGACAUCCCUUAUUUUGGAAAGGAGAAUAUGUCGAUUCCCUCUCAUUCGGAUGGUGAAGAUAAGCUGGAUAUGCCCGGUCUUGAAGUUUGGCUGCCAGAUUCCCCUGAGAUCCUGCAAUCAAUUUGUUCAGUGGAUGACAUCUCUUCUGUGGCUUUACUGGAGAAAAGUGCUGAUUUGAUGGAAGAUGGUGCUUUCUGUCAGGGGCAAUAUCAUUCUAGUACAUCUGUCUUUCCUCAUCUUGAAGUGGAUGAGGCAGGUUUGGUUAUUGUCAGUGACAAAUCUGUAAAGGAGAAAGUUGCAAGUAUUGAAAAUAUUGAGCUUCACUGUGAGACGCCAGGAAGUGAAGGAAUGGGUAGAAGCAAUGAACUUUUGGGUUCCAUAAAGUUUGACACAAUGCAAUACCUAUCAGAUGGUAGUUUCGCAAUGGGCUGUUGUGAAGUUGAGGUUCCGUGCUUGAAUUUCUCUGCGGAGAUGGAUUUGAUAAGUAUUAUUGAACUUGAGAAAAACUUGGUGAUCCAUGAAAGCAUAGAAAAUGAUGGUCUAAUAUGGGUAGCAAGCCCAAUCAUUUUUGAUGAAUUGCAGUUCUUUGAUUCAGACCUUUUUUCUUUUCAUGAAUUCCAGUCUGAAGCAAAAGUAGAUAUUGAUAAAGAUACAUGUGACCUGAUGUUGAGAGAAGCCGAGAAUUUCAGGAACUUUGACGAAUUGCUUGUUUCCCAUGAGCUCAUCCCUGUGGAUAAUUCUUUCAGAUCAUUGCCUGUGCCACCAGUUCCUGAGAAUGGAAAUAUAAAGUCACUGUACUUGUGUAUUAAGGAAAUCCUAGCUGAGUUGGAGCUGCAGUCUCCCUCCAUGUCCGAUGGGUUAUACUUAGAUUGGCCUUUUCUGGAAGAAGAGAAAUGCGAGUAUCGAGAAGACUGCUUCAAUUUGUUGAGGGAUAUAGAUGCUAACGACAUUGCCUUUUGCUUGAACUUCAGUGACAAUGAGAUGCUUGUAUCGGACUAUUUUUUCUCAAGUGAUAGUCCACAAGAACCAAACAGAGCGGAGAGCAAGGAAAUGCUGAGUAUACCUUCUAAUGGCAAUCCUAUAUCUCCCAUCCCUUAUAACAUAGAAGUGUCAACUAAGUUGCUGAAUGAUGGGAAGUUCCCAACUGAAGGAGUAUCAUCCCAAUGUAUUGCUAGAAAAGCAUCUUCAUUUGGUGACUCCAGGUCAAAGUUUAAUGAUCUUGAUUUUUUCUUAAAUCGAAAGGAGUAUAGUAGAGGCAAAGAUUAUAAACCAGCUGACAGUUCAAUUGAUACUAGUGCCACGGACCAGAUCAGUUUCCUCUCUUCUUCUGCUACCACAUUAUUGCAACCUCAAUGGAAUAUCAAGGUGCAUCAAAUAUUGUUAUCUACUGAUAUUCUACUUCUAAUUGAUUAUCUUAAGAAAAUCUUUCUAGCUAUCUUUGAAAGACAGAGAGAGUUAGUUGAGAUUCAGGAUCCAUCUCAAGCUGUGGACGAUGAUGCUAUUCUUCGCCUUCCAAAGAAAAAGCUCAUCAAUUUAAUUAAAAAAAGAGGCAUGUGCAGGUCAUCUUUGUUCCAGGAUGGUGAGAAAACCAUGUCAUUAGUCACAUUGUCUGCAAUCAAACAGAUGGUUUGGUACCUGUGCUACUAUGAUCUGCAUUCAACCUAUCUAUACAUAGAAAAGUUAUCCAGGAGCUUGCAGGGAUUGGAAUCUAAACUUGAUUUCAUCUACAACAUCGUAAAAGAUGUGCAUCAGAAGGGUGAAAACGAUAUACAUAAGUUCCAUCCAUCGCUAUCCGUUAUCAAGGAUAUUCUGGAGACAUUUAAGAGCAAGGAUAAUUCAAAGAUAUUAAUUGUGGCUGAGCCAGUGUUCUGGUGGUCAUUGAAAAAACUCUUGACGUCCAUGAAUAUUGCAUUUUUUCAACAACAGAAUGGACAGAAGGAUGAUUUUUACAAAUUAGAAGAUGCCAGCAUGCAAAUGAUUCACGAAUCAGAUUGCUGUUUAGUAACCCAUGAGCAUCUGUUUGCCUCAUUUCCAUUUGAGAAAUUUGAGAUUAUCUUGGAAUAUGGAGGUUCACAAGAAUCAUCUAAAGUAUCUUCCAUCUUGCCAAAGUCAGAUAGAGUUCCUCCCCUUCAUUUCCUUAAGGUGGAGCUGGAGGACCCCAGUGUUGCAAAAGCUCUUUGUGAUGGCGUUGACAUGUCCAACAUUAAUGAAGCUAGUGUGGAAGGAGGUCCUCACUUUUGCUCUACUCUCAAUGAGAUGGACGUUACCUUUGAAGAACUGCUAAAUUACCUUCCAGUGGAAAAGAACUUGAAGGGUGGGAGCAUGGAGGCAUUACUGGGAAAUGAAGCUUGCUCUACUGCAGCUGAAGAUGCAGUAUUCAGUUCAAAAUCUAAGCAAAAUUGCAGAAGCAUAGAUGGCUGUCCUGAGACUAUCGUUAUAGUUAACACACACAAUUUUGACACGGAAAUGGUAAUUUCAAGGAGAAGUACAUACCAAAAGAUUCUUGCAUUUGAGAAGAAAGGAGUUCAGGUCAUAGAGCGUGAUUUACGUCAGCCUGUCGAUAUUAUAGUUAGUGCAUCAGCUUGCCUUGCUUGGUAUGACUGCAAAAACAUUGCAAAGAAAGCUACUGCCUCCGACGAGGCUUUCUCUUGCUUGCCUCAGUGUGUCGAGAAUCUUGCAGCAAAUAUUUUGACGUCACUCAGUUUUGCUUUCAGUGGCUGCACUCUGGUCUUUGAGGGAGAAAGCGACUUUAUAGCAGGAAUAAUGGAGUCAUCUGAUGAGCUCUAUGCUGCUGCUGCUAGCUUGGGCAUGGAUAUACGGAUCUUUUAUUCAUAUUCUUCUGAGAUGACUGAUGAGAUCAUAUUAUCGUGCAUUGAACUUUCAUUGAGGACAAGCAGAGGACUUUUUCCUAAGAUGCAUGAGACACAAACGCUGGCAGAAUCAUUCCUUUCUGCAUUUCCUUCAAUCAAUCCACUCUCAGCUCAUGCAAUAUUGUCUUCAGCGGGCUUGCUUGUUGAGUUUCUGGAAUGGACACAUGAACGCAGAAUUCAUGCAGUCCAGAAAUAUCAGGUUCCUGAUGAAAGCAUCACAUUACUGAGUGCUUUGAGCAGAUUUGGGGAGCGGGAGGAUUCUAAAUCGGGAAUGACAGAUUGCUCCUCUUCAGUUUCUUCUGCUCCAGGCUCUGAAAGUCUUCAUUUUAAAAGCAAUUCUGUGGGGACGAAAAGAAAAACCACCUGGAAUACUGAAAAUCUUAAUAUGCCUACAAAUGAGUUGUUUGAUUUUGAUCCACCACUAACAUUUUCUAAAGACAGACCGAAUCAUCCCAGAGCAUCUGGCCUGUGCGAUUCUCGGAUUUCAGAAGAUAUCGACUUUUUUGAUGAAUUUGGGAAUUCUAGCUUAUCAUUUGACACAGAAUUGUGUGUUCAAAGACAAUCAUUAGACACCUAUGGGACAGAAGAUCUUUUUAAGGUAACUGAGCUCUGCGAUUAUCAGAUGAGAAAAGAUCCACAGAUGGGAAAUGAGUUAAAUAAACUUGAGGCUCCACAAUGUUUGCGUCCAAGAGAGAGAGUUUACGUGCGUAUGAUGAACAAAUUGGAUAGAAAAAAUAACUAUUCAGGAAAUUUUAAAGAGGAUAUCACAGAUGAGGUUAUUGAUAUUGACGAUACUCCUGCAACUAGAAAAGCUUUUCGUAAUGCAAAAUACAAGUCCUUUUCUACCCUGGAGCAUGCAAUGGAAAGGUCCAAAACAGGGGUUCCUAAAGCUGCUAAAAAACUCUUUUUUGGAGCAAGUGGUCUCCAAGAAUUCCCAACCACUGUGGAUAUUGACUCUAGCCCAGAUGCCUGCACUUCUGUGAGAAACCACGGGCAAGGAUCAGGGCAAGGAAUGGGACAACAUUUAAAUGCAGGUUUCUAUCAUAAGAAGAGUCAAAUUAAGCACAAGAAAGGUGUCACAGAAGAGGGUGUAUCUGAGAAAGUAAAUUGUUUGAGUGACCUGACAGUGCAAGACAAUAAUACAGCUUGUUAUGGCGAGACACCACUCUCAAGCGCACGUCAAUCCACUCGAUUGCAGCAAGGUUCACCCUGGACAAUUGAAUUUCUGAACAAAAUGAGGGAAAAGAGUCGGUCACGUCAGCAGUUUCUCCCACGUGACCUAUCAGCCCCUUGGCAUGGAUACCCCGGCAAAUCAUCAGAAGUCACAAAUAGAAAGAGUCCAUCUACUAUUGAAUUUUACAAGUAUCAAGGAAACAGUUGCCAAGAGGCAGGGACCAGGAGAAAGAGGCCUAUGAAAUGCAUACAGCUACCAGCAUCCACUACUGAGAAGGCUUCAGAUCGUUUCAUUCCAACGUGGACACCCAUUGAUAAGAGGGCAAAACGGGUGCUAUCAUUUGCAACAAAUGGAAAUGGAGGGCAAACUAACCUGGUAUGGAGUGAUAAGAACUCUCAUACAUUGGGUAGACGAUAUUAACUCUCUUUUAUGAGGUAUAUUGGGCCAAUACAACUGAGCUCAAACUUCAGAGUAGAGAUAAAGCUGUCCUCCAGGCUCUAGUUGAAGGUUGCAGAUGCUUUGCUUGGUAUAAAAGUUGAAAGAAGAAAGAAGAAAGAAGAAAGAAGAAAGAAGAAAAGAAAAUGAAUAUAAUAAAAUAUGCAAUGUGAGUAUCAGAUAACAACAGCUAAAUGUGUCGUACUAUUUUUAGUACAUAAUGGAAGGAAUACCUUUAUUUUAGUUGAAGUAAAGAGAUCAUGAGUAAGUGCCCUGCUAUGACACAGCAAUUCUUUUAUGGCACAAGCUUGUCUUCCUUUUCUUUAUGUGGGACUCACUGAUCCGAAUCCAGACUGUCAUUUGAGUAGAAUAAUUUUUUUUCCAUGAAAGGUCAAACUGUUUUCUGUCUCCACCUUCAGUAUUAAGAAGUUAGCUAACUUUUUAACCAAGUAAUUCAAAGUUUUAGUUGUAAAGAGACUUGGACUUGGACUUAUAGAAGUUGAGAUCUUUACUCAAUAAUGACUUCCGCUUUUUAGUAGACAUUUGCCUUUGUUAUGCUGUCAUUAGUAAGUUGAGAAUUGAGAUACCGAGCUUUGUUUCUGAAAUGGAAGAUGACCAGAAAAAAGUGUAGGUUUGGUAAAAUAUGAUGCUACCACUGAACUGAUUUGGGUUUUUCCAGAUGUGCCCCCAAGACCCAACAGAGACGUUGUUAAGACUAUAACACUGUUGACUUCUUAGUCUAUACCAUUCUUGUGUAAUUUUGCAUAUUACAACGGUACUCUUUUUGUUGGUUCUUCCAUUGUGAUCUGUAAAUGCGGGUUUUCACGUGAUGUAACAUGGCAUCCCUACCUCCACCAUACCUGUCUUUCUUUCCCCAACUGCAACAAGAGAAAUCAUCUUUUUUUUUUCUCCACAAUGGUGAAAACCAGGCUAAAAUUUUAGAAUUUGAUUUAUAUUCUCAAUAAUGUAAAGAAUUUUCGUUUGUU